rnacentral:lncRNA from 1 species
AGUUGGGAAUCGAUAAGCUGUGUGUGUAGGCAGGGAUGUCUUUUCAAGACACUAGUUCUCCGGGAGGAAGCUGAGGGUAGACUUCAGGCAUCUACACCAAGUAUCAGGCAUUCUUGGUGCCGUUUUACACCCCGAACUGAACGUCCUUCGCUGUCCUCUUCUGUGGCUAUGACCUUGGGAAGAUGAUGAGUUUGAGGAAAUUGGGCCGUGACAGAUUUUUGGCUGCUAGAACCCGUGACAUGUACAUUUACCUUUUACAGUUUCUCUACGAUAAUUGGAGUUGGCGUUGGAGCUGGAGCAUACAUUCUGUCACGAUACGCUCUGAACCACCCGGACACCGUUGAAGGUCUUGUUCUCAUCAACAUUGAUCCCAACGCCAAGGGCUGGAUGGAUUGGGCAGCCCACAAGUUAACC